GUGGUGGCUCAGUGGUAGAAUGCUUGCCUAGCAUGUGUGAGGCCCUGGGUUCAAUUCUCAGCACCACA
rnacentral:tRNA from 1 species